ACCGGUCCCCGCGGCGCUUCGAGGGGAGGAGGAGGGAUCAAUGCAGAGACCACCAAUCAGAACUCGACCCUCUAGUCCAGCUGCCCAAUGAGAAGGAGGAUCUGCGGUAGCCGGGGCGACGACGCGGCUGGGCUCCCAACUCACCGUGCUCCACGUAAGUGAUAAAUGCCAGCGACAGCAGUACCGCAGCCAGAUGGAAGCUGAAGCCCUGGUGGGGCCCCAGGGGGCAAGGAGGAACACCCCGUGCUCUUCCUGUCCUGCACAGCCGCCUGAGGAGCAGCCAGGGGACCCACCCACCCGGGACCCACCCACCCGGGACCCACCCACCCUUCUGCCAACAGUGUGGGGGCGGGGGGCUCACACCCGUACCCCAUGA